rnacentral:rRNA from 1 species
UACGUAGGGUGCAAGCGUUAAUCGGAAUUACUGGGCGUAAAGCGUGCGCAGGCGGUUGUGCAAGACAGAUGUGAAAUCCCCGGGCUCAACCUGGGAAUUGCAUUUGUGACUGCACGGCUAGAGUGUGUCAGAGGGGGGUAGAAUUCCACGUGUAGCAGUGAAAUGCGUAGAGAUGUGGAGGAAUACCGAUGGCGAAGGCACUUUACUGGGCUAUUACUAACACUCAGAGACGAAAGCUAGGGUAGCAAAUGGG